CCGGGGGUUCGCGGCCGGCAAACUUCCUGCAUGCGGCGGGAGGGAAGGGGGUGCUGCCCCCCGCUGCAGGGAGGAGGAGAAGGAGAGGAAGGAAGGCAGCGGCGGGCAGCCCCAGGCCGCCCUUGCCCCUGGAGGGAGGGAGAAGCCAGAGGCCGAGUUUAUAUAGGGCAGCCGCUGAUCCAGGCGCGGGGGAAGGACGGCUCCGGCCUCUGCUGCGCCCCGGAGCGCAGGCUCUGUUCCGAGCAGAGACGGAUGAUCGUGCUGUAAGCCAGGAGCAGCAUUAAACUGAUCUGCAGAUGAAAAGUACUGUUUAUCUGUCCAGGGGAAGUGUAAUCCUGAAAAAAAGAUGAUGGAUGGACAGUCCUGAUGAGCUGAAUGCUGUCUUUCAGAGUGUUGAGAAGAAUAUGCACAAGCAACUCCCUCAUUGCUGUGGGUCACCCAUAACCAAAAGGAAUGAGAAAUGAGCAGUGUGGUUUCUGUGGAUCAGUCCAUCAUUGCCUUCUAUUGCUACUGCUAAAAAGGGUUCCAUUCAGUGCCAGCUACAACAAAUUUUGUUUCUUUGCUUUUUAAAAUGGAGAGCAGAUCACUGUGAAAACUUUCCAUUUAACUCUCACCAGCAAAGUCAUCAUCCCACUUGGCCAUUACUAGCUGUUUGAAUUCAACUCAAAGAUAAACUGCAUAUAUCUCAUACUAUCAAUCUUGUAAUUCCUUCCUCUUGUCAUCUCAGUUGUAUUUAUGGCACAGUCCUUGGGGAGAUUCUAAAUUUUUUCCAUGAUAUUCUCCAUUAGGUCUGGAUUUAAAUGGCUCUAGAUUAUUGUCAUGGAAUAAGAGUACUAGGAGAGACCUCACAAGCAACUUUUAAUCAUCUGAGCCUCCUCGACCACUGUGAAGCACAAAGUAGUAUACAUCCGCAUCACAAACAUCACUGCCGAAAUCGGCAUGAACUGGCCCCUCCUGGCUGUCUCAGGAAGUCAACAUUUAGAGAGUCUGCACUUUCCUGUCAUCACCAGGCAGAAGUCCUUUCAACUCAGGACUAAGGCAGGAAGGGUGUAUGUUCAUUAGCAAUGUCUAUGGUGUAAGCACAAAUGAAGAGAUGCAGAAGCAGUCAGCCUCCAAAGUAUUUCACCAUCACUUUCACGAGCACUAAACUCUCAAGUAACACCUGUUAACAUAAAAUACUGGUUUUCGUUUUUUUAUCUCUGAAUCCUCCUGGUCCAGUGCUUCAUCUCCUCAGUUUAAACAGUAACUGUUUAAACAUGACCUUGACAUUUUUAAAGGAGCCUGUAAAGCCUCUCUGCUGUAAAACAGCCAGAUUAGCAUUUAUGCAUGGUUAAAAAAAAUAAACACUUUAACCAAAAUUGCCUGAAUGUUUAUGUGAGGGGAGAGAUGGCUCACAGGACUCUUCAAAGAACAUUGGCAGCAAUUUCCUACCCUGAGUAAAGUAAAUUAAUUAACACACACAUCCUGUUUAACAUCAAAAGAAAAUCUGGCUCCAAAGAACAAUCCAAACGAGAGGGCCUGUGCGUGUUUACAAACACAGCCGGAGCCAACAAAUGCAGCAAAAGGGUAUCUGGGAACUGCAGCAAAGCCUCCACCUAGUAGCUGGCCUCUCCAUUUUCUCCGAGGUUCAGAUCUCCCUGUAUGUGAGAAAGCAUGUAGUGAGAAAGAUGGGCCUGAGGUCCCAGCCAGAGCAACGGUAAAGCGGUGAUUUACACUCCCCACUAACAGCCACAAAACCUGUGGGAAUAAGUGAAGUAAAUCACGUUUCACAAAGGGCGAAAUGAGGCAGAGAGGGACAGUGCCUCUCGCAUGACCCCGCAGGCAUGCAGUGGCCGAGGGCAGGGCAGAACCCAGGGUGCUCCUCCAGCACGGACAGACACAGGCACUUCCCCACUGAUCUCGAUUUGGGCACCACUCUGAAUUGAAUGUGCAGCUCUUGCCAGAUUUCUCCCCCAAACUAUGCCUUCAGCAUGGAGUGCCACUUACAAUUAAAAACUCACUAAGCCUUUGUUAUCCUCCUGCGACACUUUUAUGUGGAGUGGCUUCAAAUUGUAUUGCUGCUCCUUCUGAGUGUACUUUGCUCUUUGUAUCUUGUUAAUAAAAGUAAAAUGAAA